CUGCUUCAGCAGCAGACACACUAAAACUGGAAUGAUACAGGGAAGAUGAGUGUGGACCCUGUGUNAGAAUGGCAUGCAAAUUCAUGAAGCAUUUCAUUUUUUU
rnacentral:snRNA from 1 species